rnacentral:rRNA from 1 species
UGGGGAAUAUUGCACAAUGGGCGCAAGCCUGAUGCAGCCAUGCCGCGUGUGUGAAGAAGGCCUUCGGGUUGUAAAGCACUUUCAGCGGGGAGGAAGGCGAUAAGGUUAAUAACCUUGUCGAUUGACGUUACCCGCAGAAGAAGCACCGGCUAACUCCGCGCCAGCAGCCGCGGUAAUACGGAGGGUGCAAGCGUUAAUCGGAAUUACUGGGCGUAAAGCGCACGCAGGCGGUCUGUCAAGUCGGAUGUGAAAUCCCCGGGCUCAACCUGGGAACUGCAUUCGAAACUGGCAGGCUAGAGUCUUGUAGAGGGGGGUAGAAUUCCAGGUGUAGCGGUGAAAUGCGUAGAGAUCUGGAGGAAUACCGGUGGCGAAGGCGGCCCCCUGGACAAAGACUGACGCUCAGGUGCGAAAGCGUGGGGAGCAAACAGG